GAGGAGGACAUGGCAACGCGCUCCAGUAUCCUUGCCCGGGGAAUCCCCAUGGACAGAGGAGCCUGGCGGGGCUACAGUCCCCGGGGUCGCAAAGAGUCGGGCACGACUGAGUGACUAAACAGCCACAACGGAUCCUGCCUUGUCCCCCCGGGGCCUCUCAGACACGUCUGUAGACGCUGAAGGGCAAACUCCCGAAGGUCGUUUUCAUUCUGACCCUGUUUUGUUUGCGUUCCAGCAGAGAAACAGACGGUCACGACCCAGCCACGCGCCCGUCUUUGCUAAACAGUGAUGGGACUGGUACUCAUUAAAAAAGCGUAACCCUUCAAAAUUGUGACAGCUUGUUUCUCUCAUGGCCUGAGUCCGUGUCCGAAAACACAUCAGGUCCCAGUCUCUAGAAUCUGGGAACGUGAUGUUUUUUGGGAGAAGUCUUUGCAGAGCUCAGCCCUGCCUGAAAAUCCCAGCUAUUCAAGGUUGACCCACGUUGCCGCGGAUGGCGUGACUCUGUUCUUUUUCACGGCUGCGUAAUAUUCCACCGCACAUAUGCACCACAUCUUCCUAAUCCCUUCAUCUGCUGAUGGACACUCAGGUGCUAACUUCCGUGUUUUCACUGUUGUACACCGUGCUGCCGUGAACAUCGAGGCGCGUGUUAUCUUUUCGAAUCAGCGUGCCCUUUUUUUCCGGAUGCACACCAGGUUUGAAAAGCGAGCGUGAAGGUGACCAUGAGGAGGGACAGCCUUUGCAAACGUGCUCUCAGAAUGGAACCAUGAUGUCUCCUGAACCCUUCUGGUCCUUGAUUGCUGAACUCUGACCCUCCGGGAAGUCCUUGUCCAUCCAGACACCCGCCCUGCCCGGGCUGUUGCCUGGGAACCGGGAGGCUCUGGAAAUGCCGAGGGAUCGAGGCAGGUCACCGGCAGAGAACUGGAAACAGACACUCAACCUUCAGAUCCAGGUCGGCGCUCCUCCGCGUCGGCGGAGAGCACACAGCCUUCCACGUCGGUCUGGUGUGUCUGCCGAGCGGAACUGGAACACCCUCUGCCAGAAGACGUCGACGACGGGCGAGGUUCUAUUUUUUUCCUCUCGCUGAGAUGGUUUUGCAUUCAUUACAAGUCAAGCUGUUUCACAGAUGCCCGUUGGACAGAGAAAGGAAGCUGCCUCUUCUCACCAGCCAGGGGUCUCCGAGGAUAAUCGAAGCCCCCAGGGGCGUUGGAGAAGACUCUUGAGAGUCCCUUGGACUGCAAGGAGAUCCAACCAGUCCAUCCUAAAGGAGAUCAGCCCUGAAUAUUCACUGUGAGCAAAGGAGAAGCAGAAUCAGGCUUCCCAAAAGAGGACUCACGUAGGCAGAUUCUUUACCCGCUGAACCACCAGCAAAGCCCAAGAGAUGGAACCACUUAAGACGUCAGGGGCUGUCUUGGUGAGAGUGAUGCCAACUGCUUUGACAAAGACGCCCCAGAAUUUUGUCAACUUACCGCAGUAAGUCGCAGCCGACUUCUCGUUUCAAUGACUCAUCCGCUCCAGGUGUUCCUGCUUGGGUCGAUUGCUUCCAAGUGGUGAGUGACAGGCCCAGCAUCCUUGCCAAACUGGUCCUGUGCCAUCUUCAACACCUGCCUCCCAAGGUCCCCCCUGUUUUCAUUUGUUGCUUCCUUGCUGUUGGUGUUUGUGUGUCUGUUGCUUGAACGCCAUCCAGCUGAAACAGCUGAAACACAUGCACGCUUACCACCCACGGGAGGUUUCCACGGAGUGCAUCCUUCCCCUGGCCGGAACGUCACCACACAAGACACGUCGAACCCUUAAGAGCAGGUGGGAUGUGUCCUCAAGCUGAGAUGCUCAUCUUGGUGUGGUGUCACUGAGCAUGCUAUCAGUGAGCAGCGACUGUGAAAAUGAACGUGUUAGCUGGUCGUUCGUGUCCGACUCUUUGCGACCCCGUGGACUGUAAGCCCUUCAGGCUCCUCUGUCCAAGGGGGAUUCUCCAGGCAAGAAGGCUGGAGUUCGUGGCUGUUCCCUUCUCCAGGGGGUCUUCCCGGCCCAGGGAUCGAACCCAGGUCAUCUGUGUUGCAGGCUCAUUCUUUACCCUCUGAGUCAGCAGGCAAGCCCUCUGCCCUUGGGUCCAAACCCUCUGCUGGUGCUUGUGCAAACGGUGAUAGCUCUCGUCCCUUGCCGCCAGGACUGUGCGUUGGUACAAUCGCUUUGGAAGUCCGCUGGGCGACAUCUUGCAAAGCUGAAGAUGACCCAGAAGUUGCCCUCAUGGGUAGCAACUCUGGAGAAUCCCUUGCCUGUCUGUCCACGUGUUAGCCUGUUCUCGGAGUCACGUCUCUGAUAUUGAAACCUGCAAUCCACCCGUGUGUUUGUGGGCGGCAGGGUGGGAUAUGCCGAGUGUGAAAUGAUUGCAGAAUGGCAUGUGGUACAGACGUGAAGCGAGUUGGCUCAAGAUACAAGCCACGCCCUCGUGGAUUCUAUUUUAUGUUUCUUUUAUAAUUUUUAUUUGUUUUUGGUUGCGCUGGCUCUUUGCUGCCGUUUGGGGGCUCUCUGCGGUCGUGGCGAGCGGGAGCGACUCUUGGUUGUGGUGAGUGGGUGCACGGGUUUCUCACUGUGGUGCGUGCGUUUCUUAUUCCCGUGGUUUCUCUGGUUGUGUGGCAGCGGCUCUGGGUGCCUGGGCUGAUAGCUGGACGCACAGGCUAGGUCGCGGCGUGGCAUGUGACGUUUUCCCCAACCAGGGAUCCAACCCACAUCCCCUGCGGGAGGAGCACAAGAGGUUCCUCCAUGGAGUCUUGGAUCACAUCCUCCUCUGCCCCAGUGCCCAGAUCCAUAGGCGUGUGUCCCUGCCCUGUUGGAGCAGGCCGUCAACUGGUCGGACCAGGCCCACCCGCCCUGGGGAGGGCAGUCUGCUUGACUCUGUCUCCCGGCUCCAGUGUUAAUCUCAUCCCACAGGCCCUACUGUAGGCCACGGGGAGCUACGUUCGAUAUCCUGUAAUAACCCGUUAGUGGGAAAGAAUCUGAAAGAGCAUAGAUGUGUAACUGAACCACUUUGCUGUACGCUGGAAGCUAACACAACAUUGUAAAUCAACUAUGAAACUCCAGUGAAAAUGAAAAUGUUCA